rnacentral:lncRNA from 1 species
GCGUGCCUGGAUUGGGGUUGAGCUCCUCCUUGCGAGGUGCAGAAUGCUCUAAAGAGAGUUAAAAUGAACGAAACGUGGUGAAUUACGGAAGGGCUUGGGUUGGAAAGGAGUUUAAAGCAUCCCCAGCUCCAACCCCCUGCUGUGGGCAGGGCUGCCACCCACCGGCUCAGGCUGCCCAGGGCCCCAUCCAACCUGGUCUUGUUGUGAGAAAAGGCUAGCAAUACUUCUCAAAGUGAUAGCCGUUCCAUAGAAUCACAGAAUCUUUAAGGUUGGAAAAGACCACUAAGAUCAUAACCCCAACCCACCCCCACCAUGCCCACCAACCGCGUGGUGGUUAAACACCUCCAGGGACAGUGACCCCACCACCUCCCUGGGCAGCCUGUUCCACUGCCUCACUGCUCUUUCAGAGAUGAAAUUCUUCCUAAUAUCCAACUGUACUUCCAGUGUAAGAAAACACACCAGAUACAGAAGCAUUCCUGAAAUUCCUGGGAUUGGUUCCACACAAGGACUCCCAGUCCUGCAAGAGGACUGCACAGGAACAUAUUUUACCUUUAGCCUGAUCCAUCGGCUGCUGAAGUCAGUGGAAGAGCUCCUAGUGAUUUGAGCACAUAAUCAUGAGAAAAAGGAUUUGUUUGGGACUCAGAAGCUUCUAAGUCGUUGGUGCCUUGUCAAAUUAAAUGUAAGCACCAUACUGCCUGUCUUCAAUAUUGAUAGCUUUUUAGAGCUAUAUCUUCAAAAUUUGCAAGCUUAUUUUCUUUUGAAAAGUGGUUAACAAAAUUGCUUCAUUACCAGACAGGCAUUGUGAUAGAAGGAAUAGCAGCCUCUAACUCAGUUUAGGUGCUUUCUAUAAUAAGAAAAAUGAUUAUAAUUUUAGUAGCUCCAGUUCCUUCCUGAUCAACUGCAUAUUUUGGAAGCUUGGCAGAAUAUAGUCUUUGGGUUAGAUAGGUGCUGUUAUUGCCAUUAUGAAAAUAAUCUACAUUAUUGGUGGAAUUCUAAACUGUCAGGAAUCAUAAUUUCCUCUGUACUGUGUGUUGAUUGGGGUUUAUCAAAACCUUUGAUACUUGAUAGCACUGCAUGUAUAUCAAGAAGGCAUUCUGGAUCUUCAUUUCAUACAGAAGCCAGUGUUUGAAUAGAUCGUGGGCAAAAUGAAUCUUCCUCUUCUCUUUAAAAAGUCUAUGGGGAAUAGAAAUGGGUCAAGUAACAUAUUCAUUCUGUACCUUACUUCUCAUCUGUGAUCAGUACCCUUUACUCUCACUAUUAAUAAACAAUGACUCUUCAUAUAGAUCA